GAAAUGCGAUAAGUAAUGUGAAUUGCAGAAUUCAGUGAAUCAUCGAAUCUUUGAACGCACCUUGCGCUCCUUGGCAUUCCGAGGAGCAUGCCUGUUUGAGUGUCGUCAAAUUCUCAGAACCUCCUGCCUGAUGUGGACCAUUGUUGGUCCACUACUUCUUCAGGCAAGCGGGUCUGGAUCGGUGGAGGAUGCACUGCUGGCUAACCAAGUUAGCCCUUUGCUUCUCUGAAAAGGAUCGGCGUUACGGCUUCGUUGUCGGUAUGAUACACAUACAUGUCUUACCUGCUUCUAACCCGUGCCAGCCUUGAACACAAACACGCUCUUAUGAUUUGACCUCAAAUCAGGCAGGACUACCCGCUGAACUUAA
rnacentral:misc_RNA from 1 species